UAGUCUCCGUCAUCACUCGUAUUCGAUU
rnacentral:sRNA from 1 species